UGGGGAAUAUUGCACAAUGGGCGCAAGCCUGAUGCAGCCAUGCCGCGUGUAUGAAGAAGGCCUUCGGGUUGUAAAGUACUUUCAGUCGGGAGGAAGGUGUCAAGGUUAAUAACCUUGGCAAUUGACGUUACCGACAGAAGAAGCACCGGCUAACUCCGUGCCAGCAGCCGCGGUAAUACGGAGGGUGCAAGCGUUAAUCGGAAUUACUGGGCGUAAAGCGCACGCAGGCGGUUGAUUGAGUCAGAUGUGAAAUCCCCGGGCUUAACCCGGGAAUUGCAUCUGAUACUGGUCAGCUAGAGUCUUGUAGAGGGGGGUAGAAUUCCAUGUGUAGCGGUGAAAUGCGUAGAGAUGUGGAGGAAUACCGGUGGCGAAGGCGGCCCCCUGGACAAAGGCUGACGCUCAGGUGCGAAAGCGUGGGGAGCAAACAGG
rnacentral:rRNA from 1 species